UCAGUGCUGUUAUUCAGCGGUCAUGGCGAAUUCGAAACUGGACUAUUGGCUAUUUUAAAUCAUUUAAGAAGGUUUAAUCUUAGAUUAAACGUUCGCUUUAAUCGAGCUGAGAUAAGUAAGCAAGUCUUCUCAAGUAUUUCACCAUUUAGAAACCCAUGAAUGCAAGUCCCUGAACUUACCUUACCGCUGAUUUAUUUAGUUCCGUCUGCUAUGCUAGCUAAUAGAAGUCGACAUUUUUUGAAUAUCAUAGUUUAUGUCAUUUUGAACGUAAGAUAACGCAGUAAAAUCCUGGCCAAUCGGAAAAUUUAUCUUCAAAGCUCAAACACGGUACUCGAGAAAUCAGUUUUGAGAAUUUGGUAUUCUAUCAUGAUUGGCACUCAUUAAACGUAAACGAUGAUUUGUCGUAUUCUCUUAACCGUCUAUUUGAGAUGCCUUGAUGACGUUAGGUAGAUCAUUCUUGGGUAUUAGACAUGCGCACUCUGCACAUGUCAUUGCUUUUAGAAAAAGACACCACGGCGCCUUGUGAAGCAGGAGGCCAGUCUAUCGAUCAAAAUCUUCUGUUGAGGACGUCUUGAAGACACUUAAGUAUCGCCCACAUUUCUGUUUCUGCUUCAACAUUGAGACUUUGAAGGAACUUCUGAAGUCAACACCACUGUGUAGUCCAUCACUGGCAGAUCAAUGUGGCUUUCCAUGGAACAAAACGUCCAAACAGAUCUGUUAGAGCCACAGAGAAGUGCGAAUGCAAGCGCAGCUUCAGACAUGUCGAACGAAGAAGAUGAACUUCUAAACUUGCAUCAGCAGCAAGCAGAAACGUUUUCACUGGCUAUAGUUUCUGUUGCAUCCAAGGAAAGUGAAAAUGCAUCGAAAAGAAGCCAGCAGAAGACAAGCAGAAGGGAUAUUACUGGAGUUCAGGUGCAGCCAAACAGUGUUUCACUUGCUUUCGGCGCAAAAUCCACUCUGCGAGGUACGCCAUGGGAAGAGGCCCUUGGUGGCGUUACACGGCCGCGCUCGAAAAAGGCGGGAAAACCAACUCAAAGAACCGUUAAGGAGAUGGAGAUUAUUUCUUUCUGGACACAAUUUUUUGGUUAACCGAUCAUGCCGUCUUCGUGUUGGGUGUCUUUUAAAGUAAUUAAUUAUAGCAGAACGCUUGGCAAAGAACGACAUUCAGUGGUUUGUCUACGGUCAAACAAAUUUUAUAGUGUUGAGGUUGUCUGUGAAAUAGAGAAAGCGACAUUUUAAUAGCUUCUGUAAGAAUGAUGUAGAGAAAUUUAUUUAUCAUUGUCUCAUUUACAGCGAGUUUGCUGGUCAUAAGUUAUAUAGGAAACUGAUGUUGCAUUUCUAUACAUAAGAUACACAAAAAAUAAUAAUUUUCCAUCUUUGUAAUUUUGUAAAAUAGCUUCGACAACUGAUGUAGUUUUCUGAAUAUGUGAACUCGCGAUGCUUGUUAUCAUGUCCGGUCAACUAUGGCUUACCUAGGUUCCCGCGGUUUCGUCUUUUAUAUUUUUUAAUCACAUUUGAGCCGUCAGAAGAACAAAGAAGAAAGAUAUAAAACCCCUUGGCCAGGGUAUCUUUAAUUGAAUGGGACCGUCUUUCCGGCUAACGUAGUUCGCCGUUUAAACGUUUCAACAAUUUUAAACUUCUAUGUACAAUCUUCUGAUUUUGAGGUAUUUGUACUUAUAUUUGUAUUUACUAGAUCAGUAUUUUAUCGGACAAUCUGUAUUUAUUUGGGUGAGGCCGGCAAGAAAUCUUGAAAAGCCAAAGAGAUGAUAUGAUUCAAUAAAAAGCGGUGUUUCCGAUUUGUGUGACAUAUAAUUUGUUGUAUUAUUUAUUAUCUUCUUAAAGGAGCUAAGUCACGGUUUGCGCAUAUUGAAAAAUUCAGCCUACAUUUUCCAAGUUCGUCCUUUGUAACCCGUGUUAAUCUUCUCCAUCCUUAACCAUCCUUGUUCCUUCAUGGUUUAUUAUUAUCCCUUUGGCGUUUUUCUAUCUUAUUAAACUUUUAUUUUCAGGUUUUCUUCACUUCAGAGGUAAAUUUGUACUUGGCUAAAAUACUGUGACUGAGCUCCUUUAAUUAAUUUUCUUGCUAUCACAACGUUGGCAUCUUAUAACUCUUGUCUUGUAUGAGAAGUUGAAUGAGUCGGUUCUUAGCCUUGGCAGCCUUUCAGUUUAAGUAAUUGAAAAUGAGGGAACCCUAAUUUUUUCGUGGCUUAAUUAAGUAGUUCGCCCAUAAAAAAAAUGUGUUAGUUCACUUAUAGUUUAUCAAGUUUUUAAAGAACUCCCUGAGAAAUCUCCGAGGUUUUAGUAACGUUUGUUUCUAUAAUGCUAAUAAAAAGCUAAUACCUUUUCAGCAAGGGCGGCACUCGUUUAUAAUUACGUCAUAGCCGAACAUGGUGAGCAGUAGUUGCGUCACUGCUUACGUCAAAGGGUGACUAAUCCUUCGACUUUCGGGCUUCACAGCUCAGGAAAGCCAAGUUAAUAAAGCUUCAGUCACUUUUCAGCGGUUUUAAAUACUUUUGAGUUAUCAACACUUCACUAUUCUUUUUUGUUUCAUUAAAAAUCGAGUGUCGUCAAUAAAAUGCUUGUAUGUAUUGCCAACUUUCAGGUAGACAUAAUGUCGAACGUUGGCAGAGUGAGCUAAGUUUACUCUGUGACUGACACUACUUGUCCAUCUUAUCAGGUACUCUGCGUCCAGGAUCUAGGACUAGCAUGGUCAUUUAAUCUAAUAUCUUUUUAGCCCAGUGCGAGGGCCGUAUAGAGAGAAUAUCGGCCCGAUAUCUUGACUAUGCGAGGUCUUUUCAGAAAAUGUCAACUGCCGAUAUUUUCCCAGUCAGGUACCGCGGCUUAUAAGAGGUUUAUUACACGACUGAAACUUUUUUGAAAAUAUCCCUCGAUCACUGACUAGAAGGACAUCGUAAACUUCAAUCGUGCAAUUCUGAUUGAGAGAAGACUAGCGUUCACUCGCAAUGAAUUUAAGUUUACGAUGCUAUCUAAAACAGAAGUCAGGUGAUAGGCUUACGCAACUGGCUCGCCCUUAUUUCCUCAGAUCCGACGCGAAAGUAAAAAUUUAUUUGGGGUUAUUUGUUAAAGACUUUUUGCCGAGCUGAAAACCUUUGUGAGUCUCAGCACUUCCUACCGGCUGGCUGCCUACAGUAUUUGCUAAUGACUUUAUUUUCCGGCAAGAACUGCUUCCUUUUCUCUCAUGCCAUGAAGAAACGAUUUAAAACAACUGAUAAGAUGAGACUGCACGCAGUCGUUAAUCCUAGAAAAAAUUAUACAGUUGCUCAUUACCUCUCCUCUUUCCAUGGUCUGCGGCCACGGUGCUCCCCGUUUCUUCUGCGCGAAGCCGUUUUGAGUGACGUUUUGAGUGUCAGCCCUUGGUCAGAGCAAUGGCUUCAACGAAGGGCUGACUGUGAGUCCGAUGGAGAAAAUCGUUCAACUAAAUUAACACCGUCGGUAGCAAGUAGUUUUGGUUGUUCUAUACUUUAUGUAAGUAGUAGUAAUAAUCAUUACCGGAAGUCCCACCGGGGCUAAAACAAUCUUAAUUUUGUAACCACGCCUUGUUGUUUAAUGCUCAGUGACCGAGCCUCAAUUCGCAGAAUGGCGAUCUCCCUCUCUCAGCUAAACUCCAGAAUACCCGGCCACUUAUUAGCAUCUCAUUGAAUAAGAAUAGCAACUAUUGUUAUAUACCUCGUUCUUCAAAGCACUCCGGCACAUGUAAAUCAAGUGGCCGGGUAUUCUGAAGUUGCUCCGAUCUCUCUCUGACUAGUUUUAUGGAAGUGUCUUUUUCCCGUGUAACUAAAUGAAACCAUACAAAGAUCAUGUUGGUGGCUAGCCGAGGAGUUGGCUGACUGAUUUAGUAAGAGUUUCUGUGAUCAGAUAUCCCUCAAGGGGGCAGCAUUGCAACUGUAUAAAUGAUAAAAAGUUUGUUGUGUCGAUGAUGGAAAUUUUGUCAUCUCAGUGUUGACUCCAAAGGAAUACAUGAGAUGAGACAUUAGGUGUGGUAAGUCAAUUAUUCUGAGAUUUGAACAGUAUCAGUAACUGUUGUUAUUUACACUUGUUGACAUUCCAAAUGGAAUUUUGGGCUUUUGCAAAGUCUGGCAUCAAUAGCUUGAUGCCCUUCAAAUGAGAAAAGAAUUGAACAAACAACAGAACCACUGCCCCUAGCCACAACACAACAACAGCUGCUAAUAAGCAAAAGAAUUACAAGCUUAUGAGAGCUGCUACACUUCAGGGCAUUUCAACCUAAAGCUAAAAUCUACACUGAGUGUAUCGGAGGCAAUAAAUGGGGCAUCAUAGUCCUGGAAGUGUAACAUACAUUUCAUUCACUUUUGCUUUGUUCAACAAAAUGGCAAACAUUUUUGUAGACUUUUUAACUUAUGAAACACAGCACUAUGUGAAGGGAGCUGCCAGCAACCAAAUUAGUUUCUGAAGAACUGAGUCAUGCUAAAUUAGGUUCAGAGGUAUGUUAAGUCUGAGCUGGACCAAGUGAUCCAUACUGCCUGAUUUUGUCCCAGUUUCUGUAGCAUUAAGGGCCCAUUAAUUGAAUGGCUUGGUGCAAGACUGACGUAAGUGACUUUUUCGGGUGAAAAAUGAUUUUUUUGUUCAAAAGCGCCCGAAUUUUUGCGUGUCGUCUUCAAUUGAGUAGAAGAGCAUAGCCCCGUAUAUUUUUUUAGCUGUUUUGCGCUUUGUCUUCGGAAAAAAAGAAAGAAACAUUAGGACAACGGUGACUUCAAAACAAUAAUACAGGGCCGCAAAACGAAAUGGAUGA